CUUUCUUUAGUUUGUAGUAUUUUUCUUUCAGUUCGCAACCUUGGCUCACACCAAUAACUGAUCGAGCUUGCGGAACCAAAUGCGAAAUUUUCUUAGCUUUAGAUCUUUGAUACGAUGUUUGUCUAUAAACAUUAGUUUACCUUGCGUGUAUAUCUGGAUUUAUUUCACAACCGUGCUCCAAAUAUAUGAUUAAACUUCAGAUCUGUGCAAAUUUAAUUCGAAUGCAGCCUUAUCAUGGUUACAAGUCCCUUGAGAGGAAAUGCGGCAGAUAACGUUUUUCUUUGGUUUUGUGACUUCCUCAGCCGCGUCCAUGGGUGUUCAUAAAAGAGAGCAUACAAUUCAACAUACUAGCUUCUAUGAAAAUUUGAUAAGUGCAAUGGACUUUAAGAUGUAAGAGCAACAUUCGUAGUCAGAAUCAACUGAAUUAUGUUUCAUUGGAACUUUUCACUCGAUAUAAGCAAUAGGUCUGAUGCUAAAACUACUUUAGCUCACAUCAGCAAAUUGUUCAAUGCACACCUUCCUUAGCUCGCAUCAGAAAAUCAUUCAAUGUAAACAUUACUGAUUCAUGUAUGAAUCCUAUUUGCGGUGGA